AGAGUUUGAUCCUGGCUCAGGACGAACGCUGGCGGCGUGCCUAAUACAUGCAAGUAGAACGCUGAAGAGAGGAGCUUGCUCUUCUUGGAUGAGUUGCGAACGGGUGAGUAACGCGUAGGUAACCUGCCUUGUAGCGGGGGAUAACUAUUGGAAACGAUAGCUAAUACCGCAUAACAAUGGAUGACACAUGUCAUUUAUUUGAAAGGGGCAAUUGUUCCACUACAAGAUGGACCUGCGUUGUAUUAGCUAGUAGGUGAGGUAAUGGCUCACCUAGGCGACGAUACAUAGCCGACCUGAGAGGGUGAUCGGCCACACUGGGACUGAGACACGGCCCAGACUCCUACGGGAGGCAGCAGUAGGGAAUCUUCGGCAAUGGGGGCAACCCUGACCGAGCAACGCCGCGUGAGUGAAGAAGGUUUUCGGAUCGUAAAGCUCUGUUGUAAGUCAAGAACGGGUGUGAGAGUGGAAAGUUCACACUGUGGCGGUAGCUUACCAGAAAGGGACGGCUAACUACGUGCCAGCAGCCGCGGUAAUACGUAGGUCCCGAGCGUUGUCCGGAUUUAUUGGGCGUAAAGCGAGCGCAGGCGGUUUGAUAAGUCUGAAGUUAAAGGCUGUGGCUCAACCAUAGUUCGCUUUGGAAACUGUCAAACUUGAGUGCAGAAGGGGAGAGUGGAAUUCCAUGUGUAGCGGUGAAAUGCGUAGAUAUAUGGAGGAACACCGGUGGCGAAAGCGGCUCUCUGGUCUGUAACUGACGCUGAGGCUCGAAAGCGUGGGGAGCGAACAGGAUUAGAUACCCUGGUAGUCCACGCCGUAAACGAUGAGUGCUAGGUGUUGGAUCCUUUCCGGGAUUCAGUGCCGCAGCUAACGCAUUAAGCACUCCGCCUGGGGAGUACGACCGCAAGGUUGAAACUCAAAGGAAUUGACGGGGGCCCGCACAAGCGGUGGAGCAUGUGGUUUAAUUCGAAGCAACGCGAAGAACCUUACCAGGUCUUGACAUCCCGAUGCUAUUUCUAGAGAUAGAAAGUUACUUCGGUACAUCGGUGACAGGUGGUGCAUGGUUGUCGUCAGCUCGUGUCGUGAGAUGUUGGGUUAAGUCCCGCAACGAGCGCAACCCCUAUUGUUAGUUGCCAUCAUUCAGUUGGGCACUCUAGCGAGACUGCCGGUAAUAAACCGGAGGAAGGUGGGGAUGACGUCAAAUCAUCAUGCCCCUUAUGACCUGGGCUACACACGUGCUACAAUGGUUGGUACAACGAGUUGCGAGUCGGUGACGGCGAGCUAAUCUCUUAAAGCCAAUCUCAGUUCGGAUUGUAGGCUGCAACUCGCCUACAUGAAGUCGGAAUCGCUAGUAAUCGCGGAUCAGCACGCCGCGGUGAAUACGUUCCCGGGCCUUGUACACACCGCCCGUCACACCACGAGAGUUUGUAACACCCGAAGUCGGUGAGGUAACCUUUUGGAGCCAGCCGCCUAAGGUGGGACAGAUGAUUGGGGUGAAGUCGAAACAAGGUA
rnacentral:rRNA from 1 species